GUUAGCUAGGGAUGAUGGGAAUUGUAGUUCCAGAUUGUUUGGAACUACAAUUCCCAUCAUCCCUGAC